GAUUAAGUUAUUAAGGGCGCACGGUGGAUGCCUUGGCACUAGAAGCCGAUGAAGGACGUUACUAACGACGAUAUGCUUUGGGGAGCUGUAAGUAAGCUUUGAUCCAGAGAUUUCCGAAUGGGGAAACCCAGCAUGAGUUAUGUCAUGUUAUCGAUAUGUGAAUACAUAGCAUAUCAGAAGGCACACCCGGAGAACUGAAACAUCUUAGUACCCGGAGGAAGAGAAAGAAAAUUCGAUUCCCUUAGUAGCGGCGAGCGAAACGGGAAGAGCCCAAACCAACAAGCUUGCUUGUUGGGGUUGUAGGACACUCUAUACGGAGUUACAAAGGACGACAUUAGACGAAUCAUCUGGAAAGAUGAAUCAAAGAAGGUAAUAAUCCUGUAGUCGAAAAUGUUGUCUCUCUUGAGUGGAUCCUGAGUACGACGGAGCACGUGAAAUUCCGUCGGAAUCUGGGAGGACCAUCUCCUAAGGCUAAAUACUCUCUAGUGACCGAUAGUGAACCAGUACCGUGAGGGAAAGGUGAAAAGCACCCCGGAAGGGGAGUGAAAUAGAACCUGAAACCGUGUGCUUACAAGUAGUCAGAGCCCGUUAAUGGGUGAUGGCGUGCCUUUUGUAGAAUGAACCGGCGAGUUACGAUUUGAUGCAAGGUUAAGCAGUAAAUGUGGAGCCGUAGCGAAAGCGAGUCUGAAUAGGGCGUUUAGUAUUUGGUCGUAGACCCGAAACCAGGUGAUCUACCCUUGGUCAGGUUGAAGUUCAGGUAACACUGAAUGGAGGACCGAACCGACUUACGUUGAAAAGUG
rnacentral:rRNA from 1 species